UCUCUCUCUCUCUCUCUCUCUCUCUGUGUGUGUGUGUGUGUGUGUGAGAGAGAGAGAGAAAGAGAGAGA